UAUGCAGAGAAAUAAAAUAAUGAUUUCCCCAGAUUUCCUUCACUCCAAAUGAUCAAGACACAUCUGACUACACGCCCAUCCUUUCAUGAAUUACUAAGCAUUCUGGCACACUCUCUGCCUUCUUGCACAAGCACUGUCGUUUUGCUUUCUCGUCUGCCACCGUGACAGAUCCCGAGACGGACCCUCCUACCCUGCAGCCAGGCACUCUGACCUGAAAACGACAACACAAAGCAGCAGCAGCAGCAGCAGCAGCAGCAGCAGCAGCAGCAGCAGCAGCAGCAGCAGCAGCAGCGUUGUGGUUCCAGGAGAAGGGAGGGCGAAGUGGGCGGAGAAACAGCAGCAUGUCAGAAAUUCUCAGCACCGACCUUUAACCCCCUGGUCCCCACCCAAGCAGCUUGAAGCAGCCUCCUGCUGACGUAUGACGCCAAAACUCGCCUGUCAGGUUUAGAUUCUGAGAUCAGCCACUCAGAGUUUCAGCUGCAGUGACUCUGGCAUGAUAUCCCCACAGGACCAGGCCCCAGAGGAUUGUCUGUACUUGCAGCUACAUGAUGCACUGACUCAUCAAGCGUCUGCUGACGGCUGCUCUUACAGUCAACAUUGACGCUCACCUUUCCAACAGGCGCAGCUUCAAUUUACUGAAAACAUCCUCAAUAUUCACCAGCCGCUAAUAGAAAUCAAUCGAUUGAUGCUGUGAAUAGCUCUUGUUAAAGUUUUGAAAGGCUGUUUUAAGCAUUGUUUCCCCCCCACACAGCAUGUUGCCAUUCUCUGGAAAUCAGGGAGAGUAUUUGGUGCUGCUUUGUUCCUCUUAGGCAAGGCAGCGGGUUCAGUCAACUAUUGCAGUCUAGUGACACGCCCUGCUGAUCGCCUUGGCAACAUACGCGGCUCUGUUUUGUUGAAGGUUUCAUCUCCUGGCCCAAUUCAUGUCUGACACUGCAGACAUUUUGUUUUAUUUUUGAUAAGAUUGCUAAACUCUUACGGAAAACCUUAAAAUCUUUCUAUGAUAAAAAGAUUUAAAACGGAAGAUUACAGUAAAAAGUAAAACUAAGAGUUAAUCUGGGCUUACGUUUUAUUUUCUAUUCGUCCUGCUGAGUUUCGAGUCUUAUCAGCCAGUUUAUAGUUAAAUGCUAGGUCAGAUUGUAAACUUCACACUGGACUUUGCUCUCUUCUAGUUAAUAAGUGAUGCCUUCUUUUCACUCGCACUUCUUUACCACCAGCACUACAACAGUAACACAGGGGCCUAGCUUUGGAAGAAACCCGCAUUUCAUACUCAGCACCUCCCACCCGUCUUGUUAGGCAACAGAAUAACUUCAGGAGGCUUCUUCCCAAAAAAAAAAAAACUGCCUUCACAGUAAAACCAGGAAUGCGCAUCCGUGAAAAGCUGCCAGAGAGCAAGUUGCGACAGACAAAGCAGACGUGGACACUUUCCAGCUUUCGCUGCUGAAACACUAGUGUGACAUUCCACGCUAACGCUGCAUAUUCGAUCUGUCUGAGAGCGACGCUUCUGCUGCAAAAACCAAAAACAUCUCUCACAGUUUCACCACUUUUAUUUUAAACUCCUCUGACUCAGCCGUCACGUCAAAACUGCUGAAAUGAUCAGAUAAGAGGACGUCUCUGCUGUGACAAAAGGGAUGAGUAAGGCUGCUGUCAGUGGUGAGAACAUGCAGUCCUGCCCCCGUCCCACAGGCGAGUCAAACAGGGAGUGUCUCCAGAGCAACAACAGGUUCCCGAUAAGGGUGUGGCAGAGGAUUGCGUGGGUGAAGGUGAAUACACCUUCAGGGAAUAUCAACAUUUCCUAGCAUCUUAAAACCAUCCCAGCAGAUCUAAACGUUGCUGUCCUAAGCUCUUCUUCGUAUCACAGCAGGAAUAAAUCAGGUUUUAGGGCCCCCGGGAUGAACUCUGCUCAUAUUCCAGUCGUAUUCCUAACAAGCUCCAAGGAGUUUGUGCUGAUCUCUUAUUUAGGUUUAGUCCUUUCUGACAGGCAGGGUGGUAAGAAAAACAUUUGAGAUGUUGCUCGUCUCUCUGGUAGACGUUAUACACUUGCUUAAGAGCAUUAGGCCCACACAAAUCUAAUAAAGCAAAAAAGUUUUAGGAAAUACGCUCAUUUGUCUUUUUGCCAACAACUACAUGAGAAAACUUACCCCUAUUUGGACUCGCUUACAGGCCAGCAGCCAACUAGGCUACCAGAGAUCAGCAUGUCAGGGGGAAAAAAAAGUGAAAGCUUCUUAAAAACAGGUCAUUUUUACUCAACUGAAUGCUAAAAAUAUUUGCAGGAAAAAAAAUGUGCGCAUGUUGUUAUCCAAUACACAUUCAAGUAAGAGGAUCUUGUGUCUUUGUUGUUUAAAAAACAGGAAAAAAAGUCUUUUACCCCAUCUGGUAUAAAUCUGAUUUCUCACAGACUUGCUGGUUUUAUGUUUGGACUGACAAGCAAAUAAAGCAGAUUAUUGAAGCACACAUCUGUAAAGCUUCUUGCACCAUCUGGAUCAGAGAACUACAGUGUGCGACAUACAGGCCACCCGCCACAUCAUGAACACCCCUCUUAAAAGGCAACCCAAACUCCUUAACAACACCCAGGACUUUAACAAACGUCCGGAACUCUGUGUCCUAUCCUCCAUGUUGUUCAAUGUAGGAAAUGUACAUUUUGACCAAAAUACUUUAACUUAGGCCUAUUAUUGGGAUACAUUUUCAAUAAACUUUAAAGUGGAUUUAUAGUAUAAAUUUUCACAUUUUGCUGAAGCAUUUUUAAUGUCUGUUUUGGCAAAAGUACAUUUUGGUUAGAUUUACUGAUGUAAAGCCACUGAACUGCUAGUUUUACCACAAAAUUAAUCUCUUGUGCACUACAUAGCUUAUUAAAUGUUAAGAUUUUACUGGAAUUGCAAUACUAAAGCUAGCAUUAGAUACAAUAUGUCUCAGCUUAGGCUACAAAGCUGCAUAGUUUGAUAUUAUGUUCAAACUUUGUAGCUGCACUUUACUGUCAUGUCAUGAAUGUUGUGCACUAUGUAGCAAAUCAUAAAAAAAUACAGUUGAAACUUGAAACGUUAGACUGCUACUGUUCAUAGCUUAUUAGCUUGUAUGGCUUGAUAAAGUCAACAAACAUAGUUCAGAUUAACCAUUCAACUUCUGUGCAGUAUUUCAGUACAUCAUGUGAUCCGUGGAUGAAAAUAUAUAUAUAAAUAUAUAUAUUUUCUGGUUUUCUUAGGUCACAAAGCUGUAUUGUUACCAAUCCAUCCAGUGAGAACUAUUUUUAGUAAUUUACACAACUCUUCAUCAUUUCCCCACAGAUUUUGAAGUCGUCAAUCCCAGCAGAAUAAAUCCUAACAUAUUAUGUACUAAGUCCACCUGGAUGCCAAGCCACAAAUUUCUCGUCUUCUGCUUGGACAACAGUAACUGAUCAGGCUGUCAGGGCGCACAGUUCGCUAUGAAUCAAUAAGUGAGAAUGUGAGAACAGCUAAUGGAUUUAAUGUGGUGGGUGACAGGAAGUGAUGGACAACCUUAUCUGACUCACUAAAGCUGUUAGUGUGAUCAGACAGAGGAAGUUUGUUUAGAGAAGUUAAACUGCUGCUAAUUACUAUGAAACAGGCACAAAGUCGCUGAGACAUUUGUCUAAGCGCCACAAGCACAGAUAAAGAGGCCCCGAGCUUGAAGGGUGCAUUUUUAGAGUGUUUUGAAGUGACCGUAAUGUCGAGUGAUAAAGCCAAGUCCAUAGCAGUGCCAGGUUUAACCCUUCAUAUCCUCAAAAACAGCCAACAUAUUACGGCAAUUUCCUUUGGCAACAUUAAACUGAAUUAAUCUAAGCUGCUUAUCUGGAAAUAAGCCAAACAACUCUGUCGACCACUGACGGGAAACAAAAUGGGCAGCAGCAGAAUGGCUGAGAGUCCUUGUUCUGUCAGUUGAUUCACUGCCGCUACUUUAAUGAGUCAAAUUAGGCCAGUGGAUAUAGUACGGUGGCUGUAAACUGGAGCGUAGCUGUUUACUCCCUCUGGGAUCUGACUGUGAAUCAAAGGAAAUGUGAGAAGUCUCUGAGGAGGUGCCUGAGCGCAGACCAGAUUCACAUUACACCGACCUGAUAACAAGACGGAAGGAGUAAAAAGGGCUCAUUUGCACAGCCUGCACCGGAAUAAAGUUCACAAAACAAGGAGAAGAUGCAUGUCCACAGACCGCAAUCUUUAUCAGAACCGACAUAAAGAAAACGCCUGAAUAUUGAAUACAUAGUCAUUGCUGGGAGAUUCAAGUUUUUCCAGGCCCCUUUUUGAAUUUAAAAGAAGGGACAUCCCCCCCAUCCAUGGUGUUUGGCUGAUGUUAGGAAGGAAGAGGAUGAACUGACAACACAGAGAGUGCCCUGUUUUACUUUGUUUGAGACUGAGAGGAAAAGAGUAGCCACAUUGUCCCACUGACUUCUGCUAUAUUGAAAAGGAAACUACUCAAGAGUUCCCCACUGGGUGCAAACAAAAAGCGGACUGAAGCACAUCAUGAUGGCUCUGUGUGUUCACAAGCCAAGCUUAGUGCACAAAUCUGCAGCCAAAGCCCAGUCUGAAGGCCUGCGAGGGGAGUUUCAUUUUGAACUGUCAAUGCUAUGAGUUAGAGUCUGCCUGAACUCUGAGGAAAUGCAAAAGAUAAUACAUUUUUCAGGUAGUAGGAGGAAUGUGCUGCUUAGGAUACCAGGGCAAGGGAAUGAAGAGAUAAGAAAGAACACAGAAAGUUUGUCAAAUACAAGUUCAACGACUGAAAAAAGUGUUCAAAAUAAAUAAUGAUCUUUUUAGUGAACAUAAAAUCACAUGUAAUCAAGUAACAACGACCGCUUAAAGUACUUUAAUGAUCUCAAAGGGAAAUUAAAUUUUUAUCGACAAAUCCACAAACAAAUCAUGAGCCUCAGUCCCUAUGACAUUUAGAAAUUACUUCCUGUUAUUCAGAAAUAUCCAACAAAUACUCAUUCAGUAACAGUUUGAGUUGUAGCAUGUUUUUAAUGGCUUUACUGCAUGCAACUGUGGAAAAAAGAACAAUCAUGAAAAUCCUCUUUAGGGUCAGUAAGGAGCAAUAGUUAGUCUUAAAUAUUUAUUUUUAAUUUUAAAGCUGUGUACACUAUUAUUAAUAAAGUUAAUGUUAACCCAAAUCAGCUCAGGCAUGACAGCCUUUUCCAACUGAUAAUGUGAGAAACCACAUGAUGAAAAAAGGAUAGUUGUUAAAACAAAGCAACAUUUUAUGGAUGCUAGCACUAGCAUGCUAAGGUUAUUAGUUUGCUAAGCUAAUGCCACAAAGUCACACAGUCCAUUUGGAUCUGUGUGAAAAACACUGGUACUGCUUAAGCAUGAACCACAUGAUGAAUUUAGUGUGCACUCUCAAGUGAACAUAAAAUUAUACUUAAAACAUCUAAUAAACAUUAGUGUUAGCAUGCUAUAGCUAAUGGAAAUUAGCUGUAGGUCACACAGAUCCUUUGACCAAGGUUAUGAAAAACCUCUGUACUACUUUUAUAAAUGUACCAUAUCAUUAAUUCAUGUGGAGUGGCUCUGAAAUCAAAGCCAAGUUUUAAACAUUUAAUGUAGCAUUAGCAAACUAAACACACUUGAGAGAGCUGUACAGUCGUUUUCUAUCUAUGUAAUUUACCAUCUCUGUACGCUACUUUUCUUGUGUUAUUAUAAAUCUGUAGUAGACCAUCUAGAGGAUGAACAAUUACAGUUGUCAUACAUUACAACUAAGCCUACGCAAAUGUUAAAAUUACAUCAUUCACUUCAAGGAAUUAAACCCUGACUCAGAGUCCCCCCCGUUACCUCCCAUGUAUUUUCUGUCAUACAUUCAUCACAGUUUCUGGAUUACACAAAUGUCAAGUUGCACAAUUUUCACAACCCAUGACUUCCUGGGAGACUUAAAAAGCAAUGGACAAAGAGAACAAGACCAAUGCUUCACAUUUUUUUCCCCAAAAGGUGACAAAACAAAUCUGAAAGCAACGCAGUCUUUUUUGUGGCGCUAUCUACCAAGUAAAGCUUCCCAGUUGAUUUCUUUCCGUUUCAGCCACACAUCCUACCCGUCCUCACUCUUCUCAAUAUCUCAUAGAAGUGUAACAGGGAGGAGGCGUACAGAAACAGCCACAACCCAACAAUCAUCCAACAGUGAAAACAUUUCUCUUCAAUCAGACGUGGAAUGUAGAUCCCUCCCUCCUCACCACAGCAAUGAAAAAAAUUAUCAGCAGUAAUGUUUUCAGAGGAACAGCAGCAGAACAGAUACCGUCGGGAAGCUGCGGGACUCAUGCAUGGUUAACUCAGGCAUCUUUGCAGAGACAUGACCUGAACCUGGUCGUACUCAGCGUGGUUUUUAAAACCGCCAUGCAUAGGGGAAAAACAACAACAAUGUUAUUGGUUAAGACAUUUGAGCAAGUGACUUUUGAUUCAGCUAACUGCUGAUGGUAAAUAAUUGCCUUAAUGACUUGUUGGCUAUUUCCAACUGUACUUGGUAAACAAUAUACAACUGUAAGAAGAGAAUGAGUGUCAGAAACAGCAGAAAUCUGUCCAAUGAAUGGGAUAUUUUUAUGGAAAAACAAUUAGGUUAUUGAUAAUGAUAACAGAAGCUUUAGAUAGCUUACAGUCUGUUCUUUUGUCAUUUUAAAGCAAUAAAAAGAACAUUUUGAUUACUUGCUGGCCCUGCUUCAACAAUAAAGAACAGCAAAGAAAACCAUAAUAGUUUUAAAUAUUUGGACUGAAAGCUCCAUUGCUAAAUAAAUAUUGGUGAAAGGCAAAUCUAUGGACAUUUUAUUAGACUUUUACCGCACUAACCUCAAUGGAAAACCCUUUGUUGUUCCCUCUCUAUGGAAACGCUAGAAUGCUUAACACGAUGCAUUCAAAGACAAUGAGUGGGGUGAAAAGCUGUAACUGAGCCUGUGGAAAGUUCAGCGUUGGGCAUCACUGGAUCCAGACAGAAGCGGGUCCAGAUCCAGGAGAGACAAAAACAUAAACCAAGAGGCCAGGAUAUAAGACUUUCACUAAUCCCCUUUAAAAAGUGUAAUGUCCACUAAUGUAGGACAGUAUCAGGGUAUUAGAUGGAGGGGGCAGGGAUUAGCACUAUGUAUCCACAGAUGUAACAGCGAAAUCUACUGUAAGUCACCCCCUGGGGACAUCCAACCACCAUCCCACCCUUUCCCCCCCGAGGACAGACAGGAACAGCUUUCCAAACCUGCCCCUGUCUGGUGCCGAACUACGAGCCAGAUUGGCAUCAACCAAGAGAACCAAGUCCUGUUCAGUCCUUGGCACACUAAGCGGCUCCAGCAGGAAACUUUCUUUCAAACCCAGCAGGAUAUCACACACAUGUUGGCUCUGAUCCAGAUGCGUUGUAAUGACUGGCGAUGAUUCACAGUCAAGAAUAAUAAAUGAUACAAUUACAGUUAAUGAUCCAAAUGUCAACGCGGCAAACACGGUUGCAAAUUAAAGAUGUGCCGGCACAAGUUUAAGCCAUUCUUAAACAGUCACAGAAGGUGUAGGGCACCUUGGGUGGACAUUAGAGUUGCAUAAAACAGUAGUCAUCACAGGAUAGUGUGUAUUGCCAAGGCCUGUCUGGAUGUGGUAUUUUGAAUUAUACUCUCAAUGCUGGGCCUUCGUGCUGUAAUACUAGUAAUGCUUCAGACCAUGUGGGAGGAAGUUAAUGGCUCUUAAUGCUGACACUGGAUGUGUAUCUUUAGAUGCUAAAGCACUUUGAUAGUGGCGGUGGACGUGGAUAUGAAAA